rnacentral:tRNA from 1 species
AAGAAUUUAAGUUAACAUAAACUCAAGGCCUUCAAAGCCUUAAAAAAGAGUAUCAACCUCUUAAUUUCUG